ACUCCUACGGGAGGCAGCAGUGGGGAAUAUUGCACAAUGGGGGAAAACCCUGAUGCAGCCAUGCCGCGUGUGUGAAGAAGGCCUUGGGUUGUAAAGCACUUUCAGUAGGGAGGAAGGUAGUGUAGUUAACACCUGCAUUAUUUGUACGUUACCUACAGAAGAAGCACCGGCUAACUCCGUGCCAGCAGCCGCGGUAAGUACGGAGGGUGCGAGCGUUAAUCGGAAUUACUGGGCGUAAAGCGCAUGCAGGCGGCCUGUUAAGUCAGAUGUGAAACGCCCGGGGUCUUAACCGUCGGAAUUGCAUUUGAAACUGGCAGGCUAGAGUCUUGGUAGAGGGGUUAGUAAUUUCGAGGUGUAGCGGUGAAAUGCGUAGAGAUCUGAAGG
rnacentral:rRNA from 1 species